CGGCGCAGGGAGGGGUUCAGGAUGGGCUAAGCUGGGUCUGGGUCGACUGUGCAGGGACGGUGGCUGGGCUCGGCAGGGACGGUGGCUGUGCAGGGAGGGGCUAGUGUAGACCCUUCAAACUGAAGCCACCACCCAUUCUGCGCAGGUUGCAUUGCUCCAGAGGGAUACUACUGGGUUAACUGCUGAGAAUAAGGAGCUCAAAAUGCAGUUACAGGCUAUGGAGCAACAUGCACAACUCAGAGAGGGAAUGAAUCCAUGUUGCUAUUUUCUGAGAGAAAUUAUGGACUAUUCAAGGCUGAUGGCACCAUUUCAUAUGACAUUGGGUUUCAUGGACUUGAUUCUUCAU